GACGAACGCUGGCGGCGUGCUUAACACAUGCAAGUCGAACGGAAAGGCCCUGCUUGCAGGGUACUCGAGUGGCGAACGGGUGAGUAACACGUGGGUGAUCUGCCCUGCACUUCGGGAUAAGCCUGGGAAACGGGGACUAAAACCGGAUAGGAGACAUUUUUAGUGUGAUGGUUGGAAAGUUUUUUCGGUGUAGGAUGAGCUCGCGGCCUAUCAGCUGGUUGGUGGGGUAAUGGCCUACCAAGGCGGCGACGGGUAGCCGGCCUGUGAGGGUGGGCGGCCACCUUGGGUCUGAGAGACGGCCCCGGCUCCUACGGGAGGCAGCUGUGGGGAAUCUUGCUCAAUGCGCGCCAGCCUGAUGCAGCGACGCCGCGUGUUGGAUGACGGCCUUCGGGUUGUAAACUCCUUUCGCUAGGGACGAAGCUUUUUGUGACGGUACCUAGAUAAGAAGCACCGGCUAACUACGUG
rnacentral:rRNA from 1 species